CCUAGCUUGCCAUCAUCUUGAUUUUGGCAUUUCUCAAGCGCAGAGAGAGUUGCAAACUUAGUCACUGUAAUUGCUAUCCAGGACUGGUGAUCCCAAUAAACUUUCUCGGAAGUUCCAAGGCGAACAGAUAUGCAAUUGCUGCUACUUUUGGUGCCACAGCAAGUACUUGUCUAAAUCUUGCUCUCUCUAAGGAUCUGAACCACAUCAACUUCCUUCCAGAAGACAUCCAUCCUUGGCUUAAAGAUACUCAGGAACUUGUAACUGUUCUCGUGUAUGGAAUCGUGUUUUAUCCAUAUUUUGCCUGCUUAACAACCAAGAACAAGCUGAUUGGGUCCUUAAUAGGAUUUGUAUACGCAGCAAUCAGGUAUGAAAAUGUUAUGACCAUAAUCAGAGCAUCUGGCAGAGUGUGAAAAAAAUAGUAAAUAGUGCGGAUAUUUUUGCUAAAUAGUUCGCGAAAUUGUGCUUGAAAAAACGAAAUAUUGCGGAAAAAGCUAAAUAGUGGGAGAAUUUUCAGGAAUGUCUUCUUCUCUUUCCUAGCAUUUCUUUUACGUUGAGGUAAAAUACAGUGCUUUUAGAAAGCUUGACUUUAUAUUUACUUCCUCAGUUUUUUAAUUUAUUGGAAAAAGAAAAACUUUCUUAACCAAAGCCUUUCUUUUCUGUUGUAAUGAAAAUUAUAGAUCGAGCAAUAUGUUGUACAACAUUUGCAGAGGUUAAUUAAAUAAAGCUCUUUUUCCUGCUGUAUUUUGAGUAAUGCCAUAGCCUUGCAGUGCCUGCGUGACAUCAACGUUCAAGACUUAAGUUCAAUAAUUAGUAUUCGAAAUAGUAUUUUGCUAAGUUAAUUGCUUCCUCUUAUGAUAUCUUGCCAAGCCUGUACAUUUUACGAUUUCAAAGAGUCCAAAUGUACAACACAAAAAACAAGAAAUCAAGAAUCAAGAUUUUCCCACAUUAUAUUCUGCUAUGCUACUAGCAUUUUUGUCGAUAAUUAGGUCACAUUAGAAAUGCAAUGAUUCAAGAUUAACAUUGAAGUAAUGAAAACAAAAAGCAAACAAACAAACAAAAACCUUUAUUGUUUGUGUUUCAGCUUAGUUAAAAACGCACCCUGGCAAUGAGAAGGACACAUUAAUUUUCUAAUGUUUUGAAACAGUAAAAUGCUGCACUGCAAUAUUAAGAUGCGUAAUGCGCACGAUCGAAUUGCUCAUGUGCAUCUCGCUUACAACGCCUGAGUGUUUUUUUUUUUGGCUUAUUCCUUUCGGGUUUGGAAGGUGCAUGUGGAAAGGUAAUUAUCUGUUGUUCAAGAAUUCAAUGCAUUACAUUAUUUUGCAGACACUAAGUUCAUCGCAUUUAUUGCGGGUUUUCAAACGCUUAUUUUGUGGCUUGUAGGAAUUUUCAGCGAAUAAUCGCAAAAAGUGUUCAAAAAAGAAAAAAAAGCGAAAUAGAGCGAUUUUUGGUCGAUAAUGCGGGAUCACACCCUUGCACCUCGCCAGAUGCUUUGCGUAAUGUUUAAAAAUAGGUCGAGUCAAACAUGCAUGGCUGGUGACAAGUUGCAAUCAGUUUGCAAUAAUUGCAAAAUACUAUUCAAAGUUAUCUUGGUUAAGGAUGUGGCAACUAUAUAAAGUACCUUAUUCCAAAACAAUUAAGUAACUUGAAUUAAAUGAUUGUAAAUUUGUGUUAUGAACCAUUCAUGCAGUUGAAAAUGUUUUUUUUACUGCAACUCUUACAUCUUUUGUACCU